ensembl:misc_RNA Metazoa_SRP Metazoan signal recognition particle RNA
GCCGGGCAUGGUGGCAUGUGCCUGUAAUCCCAGCUACUCAGGAGGCUGAGGCGGAAGAAUCGCUUGAACCCAGGAGGCGGAGGUUGCAGUGAGCUAAUAUCGCGCCACUGCACUCUAGCCUGGGUGACAGAGUGAGACUCUGUCUCAA